rnacentral:rRNA from 1 species
GACGUAGGGCGCGAGCGUUGUCCGGAUUUAUUGGGCGUAAAGAGCUCGUAGGCGGCUUGUCGCGUCGAAUGUGAAAACUCGGGGCUCAACCCCGCGCUUGCAUUCGAUACGGGCAGGCUCGAGUUCGGUAGGGGAGACUGGAAUUCCUGGUGUAGCGGUGAAAUGCGCAGAUAUCAGGAGGAACACCGGUGGCGAAGGCGGCAUCCUGGACCGGCAUUGACGCUGAGGCGCGAAAGCCAGGGGAGCAAACGGG